rnacentral:rRNA from 1 species
GAUCCUGGCUCAGGACGAACGCUGGCGGCGCGCCUAACACAUGCAAGUCGAACGAGCGAGAGAGAGCUUGCUUUCUCAAGCGAGUGGCGAACGGGUGAGUAACGCGUGAGGAACCUGCCUCAAAGAGGGGGACAACAGUUGGAAACGACUGCUAAUACCGCAUAAGCCCACAGGUCGGCAUCGACCAGAGGGAAAAAGGAGCAAUCCGCUUUGAGAGUCGGCCUCGUCCGUACCGUAUUA